CCCUUAGAUGUUCUGGGCCGCACACGCACUACACUGAAGGAGGCAACGUGUUUGCCUGAUUCGAAAGAAUUGGGUAACCCCCUAAUCUCUUUCGUGCUGGGGAUUGAGGUUUGCAAUUAUCCUCCAUGAACGAGGAAUUCCCAGUAAGUGCAAGUCAUAAGCUUGCGCUGACUACGUCCCUGCCCUUUGUACACACCGCCCGUCGCUACUACCGAUUGAAUGAUUUAGUGAGGACUUCGGACUGGGACCGAUGCGGCUUUCGGGCUGCGUCGGUAUUCUGGAAAGAUGUCCAAACUGUAUCAUUUAGAGGAAGUAAAANUCGUAACA
rnacentral:rRNA from 1 species